AUUUCAUUCAUUUAGACAUUUGUUAAGUCAAAUUUUGGUCCCCAAAAUCAAAAAAUGCAAAAGGAUAAAAAUGUAGAAACAACUUAUUUUGACAACGUUGUAAAAUGGGCCUGAAGGAAGUUUGUUUGUUAUGUUCUGUGAGCUAUGUGAUUUGUAACCAUAUUAGUGGUGGAAUCGCUAUGACGGUUGUAAAUAUCCUGCUUUGCGAACACAUUAACAUGGCAGGAUUAGUUAUACUGUUACUUGGAUAUUUAACAUACGUCGGUAGCGGUGUGUUGUUAUUAUUUGGUGCAGCAAUGCGCAAACCAAAAAUGGUUUGUCGUCAUUUUUUGGCAACAGUUGUUAGCUUGGUUAUAGUAAUCAUUGGUUGGAUAUUCCUAUAUGCGACUAUGGAAUAUGAUAACUUUAUUUCUGCUUUUGUCUUAUUCGUUGCUUAUCUUGCAAUAUUGUCUUUUGCGACAAUAUGCGAAUAUGGUGUGUAUAUGUUUUACAAAAAACUGAAGCAAGAAAUUCAGGAUGCGGAGACCUAAAGUAAAAAUUCAUUAGUGUUGAUGUUAGUUUGAGUAUAAUUUUAGAAUGUAUGUACUUUUGGCACUUCUGCGUUAAGCGAAGCAACAGGAAAAGACGUUGUCACACUGCCACAUACUACCUACUAGUAAUAAAUUUUUACUAAUACCAUUUGAAGUUAAAAAAAAGUUAAGUCAGAAAAAAUUGAAGGUCAAAUAAUAAAACUAACUUCAGUAUAGGACAAUAAAACCGUUUAUAAAAAGACUAUACUUUGGGUAGAAAUGUCUGUGUCUACUGGUUAGGGUUGGAAAUAUUAUAUCAAUUACUUUCAAUUUUUGUUUCAAAUAUAAAAAUUGAUAUGAGUAUCUUGUGUCGGCUCAAAUAUUAGCACUAUUUAAUUAUCAUGCUCCUAUAAGGGUU